rnacentral:pre_miRNA from 1 species
UAACGAAGUUUUCAUCGGUAAUUAACUGCAGCCAGUUCCAUAAUUCGGCAGUUAACUGCCGAGGAGUAU